UUCAGACUGUCAGAAAGCUGGAGAGAGAAAAAAAAAGUUGGCAAUGAUUUGUAACAAACUGGACAGGUUUACAUCAGUGUGUCUAUAUUUCUGUGCACCUAAAACUCUUAAGAACCUUGUUCCUAUACAUAAAGUUACGUGUAAAACGGAUUAUUUUUUCCAUGCCAGCCAGCUAUGCUCCCAGCAGCCUCUCUGUUGACAUAGCUUCCACAAUGGGAACUAAAGCCUUCCCAUUGUGAAUCUAACCCCAGGCAGAGUUACUACACUACACUGUUGUCCAGUACAGGCCUAAAGCCUGGAUCUAGAAGUCUAACAAGCCCCUCCUCAUGGACCCCAUGCUGCAUUGUUAAGCUUCAUUCUGGUCCUACAAUGGGACAUCGCACUUUGGAAGUCAUUCUCAAAAAAGGAGAAGCCAAUCAAAAAUAAAGCCAGUUAUUGUGUCUCUUUUCACACACGUUGGUGAGCUGGCCCAACCUCAUUGGUCGCCCUAAACCCCAGGAUUCAUUCAUGUCCAUUAUAUGAACAAAUUAAAUAAAACCCAGGAUGGAAGGGAAGCUUAGAAUCAGCCUGGGUUGAGAGGAACACAGAGAGGAUGGAUGGUACAGAGCUUUCUGCAUCUCUAAUGGACUUAUCGAUCAAUAUUCAAACACAUCAAGAAGACACGGACACCGUGUAAAAAUGAGACAGGGCUGCGGAGCUGCAGUGGAGCUGACAGCUUGCUGUGACAGAGAGCCUAAAACCAACAAAGUGUCAGCUGCUGCACAGGAGAAAUGCCGUUGAUUGGAUUAGGCCGCUGUGUGUUCUCAGGCCUAAUGGAGCGAGUUCCAGACACCGUCCAACACAGAUCUAUUUUUAAUUAGAAAUUAGACACAGAAACAAGGGAACUUUCUGAAAGGAGCCGAGAAUAAAAACCUUUCAUCUUUACAAUUAACAUGCAUUAAAACUGUUUGCUACCAAAAAAAAAAAAA